GACGAACGCUGGCGGCGUGCUUAACACAUGCAAGUCGAACGAUGAACCGGGUGCUUGCACCUGGGGAUUAGUGGCGAACGGGUGAGUAACACGUGAGUAACCUGCCCUGGACUCUGGGAUAACCCCGAGAAAUCGGAGCUAAUACCGGAUAGGACCUUUCCUCGCAUGAGGUUUGGUGGAAAGUUUUUCGGUCUGGGAUGGACUCGCGGCCUAUCAGCUUGUUGGUGAGGUAAUGGCUCACCAAGGCGUCGACGGGUAGCCGGCCUGAGAGGGUGACCGGCCACACUGGGACUGAGACACGGCCCAGACUCCUACGGGAGGCAGCAGUGGGGAAUAUUGCACAAUGGGCGCAAGCCUGAUGCAGCAACGCCGCGUGCGGGAUGACGGCCUUCGGGUUGUAAACCGCUUUUAGUAGGGAAGAAGGGCUUCGGCUUGACGGUACCUGCAGAAAAAGGACCGGCUAACUACGUGCCAGCCGCCGCAGUAAAAC
rnacentral:rRNA from 1 species